rnacentral:rRNA from 1 species
CAACUUUUAACAACGGAUCUCUUGGUUCUCGCAUCGAUGAAGAACGCAGCAAAGUGCGAUAACUAGUGUGAAUUGCAUAUUCAGUGAAUCAUCGAGUCUUUGAACGCAACUUGCGCUCAUUGGUAUUCCAAUGAGCACGCCUGUUUCAGUAUCA